rnacentral:lncRNA from 1 species
CGUGACGCGGCCAGGUGUAAGUGCAGGUUGUCGCCAGCAGCUGUCAGCUGUCUGUCACAGGGCGUGUUGAACUUUGCCCUGACAGGCUCACAUUGGCCAUCCACGCUGAGUGCGCACCUAAUUAGCUGUGAAAAUUCCACGGUACAUUUUUUUAUUUUAAUAUGCAGCCUGAACACUGCGGGCUCACUGAACCGGUUAAAAUAGGAUGUCAACAAGUGACGCAGCAGCGCCGGAGCGCAGGGUUCCUACAGUAGGAGGAGGAGGACAGACAGCUACGCCUCUGUACGGGACAGCAGCUCCACAGACACCGACCGCUACUGCGAGAGAAAUCCAGGAUGGAACACACAAUGAAAGGUUUCACUGUGCCGGUCACAGAGCAGACAUCAACAGACAGGAAGAUGCACAGAAAGCACGAAUACUAAGAGCGGACACACGUAGAAGGACUUCACAGUGUGGUGAUUCAGACGUCCAGAAGCUGGUUCAGCCCAGAUUUACCACCCACGUCUUCUUAAGACUGUCCAACAAUUCAGACCACGACGGACCGGAGCUCAGACCGAAGAGCAACUUAGUCCCCGGGCUACACAGUGUGAUUGAACCACAGCAGGUUGAGACCCAGAACAGCAGCUCGCAGGUUAAUGGAAGACCAUCAUCUCCACGCACCUUGAGAGAGACGACCAGUAUCUGUCAGUCAUUAGAGAGGAUACCAUUUACAGCCAAGAAGGACGAGGAAGUCAGCACAACAGCCUGCAAUGGAUGGGAGACUAACAGAGACUCCUCUGGACCACAUGAGAAUAAUGGCGUGUACAUACAUCCAUCACAACCAAGCAUCUGCACUAGAUCUGUAACAGGAGUUAGCUUAGAGGAAGACAUAAAGCAGCACACAAAGCCUGGAAAACAAACUGUUCUGUCUGGGACCAUGCUGUCUUCCACUGUGGUAACAGUUCUUGCUCCUCACUGGAGUGGUCGACUACGCCGCUCCAAGAGAUUUGACGGAAGUGGAAAUUCAGAGGGGAAUUCACAGGAUGUGCCAAAUACCGCAGCGACCUGUGAACAUAGCUUUCAGGAGACUCAGAGUGGUAUGAAGAGUGUGUUAACAGACAGACCGAGGGCACAGUUCCUGGGUUCCAGGAGGAAUACAGUGGGCUGGUCUGCCAAAAGCGAUCCUUCAAGCUUGGACUACCAGUCUAAAAGAGAAAUAACUCAGACUGUGUCUUUGGAUGUAAACACUGGAAGGAUGCACAACAGGGACAUAGAUGCAGGUGCUUUAAGAAGCCCGUUAUCCACCGCAGCAUCUUCCAGGCCUCCCUUCUUCCAUAACCCGAAUGAACAAAGGAGGAGUCCACACACUGACCUUCAAAGAGGAUUUUCAUCUUUCAGCUCAAAGCAAACAACCAGCAGUCUCCUCCUGUCUUUAAGAAGCUUCAACCCCAGUGACAGGAACUCUAAUUCAGAGGGAAACACUUCAUCUCUGAGCGCUGAUGGAAAUGAAAAACUUUUUGCAACACACCUCUCUCAAGCCUUUCUCAACAAUAAUGAACAAGAGAAGACAAAGCCCCUCCUCUCUCCGUCAUACAGGACAUCUGACACUGGACCUGACCUUUCCCCAUCAGCCGGUGCACACAGAGACAGAAACACACCCGACUCAGUCUUCUUUUCAACUUCACCAGUCAACAGAGAUGCCGAAGGCCUACAUUUCCAACAUCAUCACAUGAUAAGCAGGACACAGUCCAGUCAAGGACUAUCAGAGAGGCAACAGAACAGCAGGACUUCAGAGACGCCCCUCUGCUCACCUAGACGUUCCCCGUUUGAUCACUCUGCACUACAAAAAACCCAUUCCUUUCCUAGAAGGACCACUCUGACAUCCACGUCCUGGUGGAAACAAGUAACCCAGGAUAGCAGCUCUCCUCACCCCCUCAAUAAUUCAACCACAGUCAGAGACAAGACAAACACACCCUUCAUUCCUCCAUGUGGUGAUAAUGGUGACACGACUGUGCCAAGCCUGACUGACAGCAAAAGACUGGGUAGUCAAAUCCUCAGUAACAGAGACAACAAUAAAACAACAGAGUCUGCUUUCAAAGGCAACGUGAACCUGCAAACACAAGGAACUCACAAUAUCAAACAAACAAAUGCAGAAAAUUCACCUGAUCCCAGACCAGACAGGCUCAUCAAACAGCAAUGUGGCUCAUAUUUAAACAACAGAGAACCACAAAAACCUCACAGAGUGCCCGAUGUUUUGACUAGUUCUAAAAUUAGCAGAGCCUCAACGCAAACAACACUGAGUCAUCAUAAAGAUCCCUGCAAGAAUGAUGUAAGCAGUAGUUCAUUUACACCUAAUGUAACGGAAUUGCCACCUACUUUGCUAAAUCCCAACAGCUCUAACACACCCACAGAGAGCGGCAGCAAAUACAAAAUUAAUCACUGUCCUCCCAAAGCCAACAACGCCCCCAUAUCACCUCACAACACAGACUCACGGAGGUUUACAAAGCAGUCUCUCUCUCUUGAUCUCAGCACCAGUCUCAACAGCCGUGCUCUUACUUCUCAAAAUGCCUCCGGUGUCCCCCCAAACACUAGAAGUCUCUCCUUUCAUUCUCACCCACAGACCAGCAUUAAUACUGGCUCUUCGUCCCUAAUGCCUAAAUUCACCAACAAAACCAACACCACACCUCUUGGCUUUGAAAGAAGCUAUGCCCCAAUUCCCAAACCAUUCCAACCUAACCCUAGCAGCCAUCUUGUUGCCACCACUAACUCAAGCCAAAACCUUCUUAGUCUUCCUGCCAAAUCUUUUCCCACCUCUGUUACCGUCUCCUCUCUCCUAACCCCUCCUGCAACCCCAAUUACCAGCCCAAGCUACUCAGAAACUUCCAGCCCUAAGGGAGGGAGGACAUUUUCCAACAGCCCAGAGACAGACCCAAAGAAACCAGAGGGAAAGAAAGUAAGGCGAGUAACAUGGGAGGAUUCAGUGGAUGUGCAUGCACAGGCUGCCACAGUAGAGAAGCCAAAUCCAUCCCGAGUUCAAACAAACCCCAUAUCUCCCCCGAGGUUCCCCCGAACUACUCCAUCCAUCUUCUCCUUUCUAAGAUCAAGCAGCCCAUCAACAAGUACAUCUCUCUGCUCCCCAAACCCAAAGACAUCCAGCAUACUGGUGGGGAAAGGAGGAAAGUAUCGGUCCUUAUCUUCUGACUCAGCUGAGCGAGACAGAAACAAGCAAAGACCAGGUGACGGUGUGAACUUUGUCCAGGGCUUCACCACACCCAGGCAGGAAAGGACUCUAUCAGUGGAGUCUGGCACAGUUCAGUGUCACCCUUCCGCUGCUCUCUCACUCCCUCCUGACUUCUCAAGUGAUUACAAUCUUCGUUACAGCUCUCCUCCUUACUCUGCCAUGAAGUCCUCCAGACUGGCACAGGGAGAGACUAAGACUAUGACACCCAGGGUGCCCCUCUUCUCAAACUCCUCGCAGUCAAAUUACACCCCGCAGAGCUCCUUACAUUCUGAUCUGGGUGCAGUCAUGGCCUCAUCCACAUCCAGACCCCCUCUUUCUCCCAUUAGGCCCUUACAACCCCUGUCCUCGUCCAUUCAAAAAAAUACUCCCGCACAAGAAGUUUCAAAGUGUGAGCUUUCAGAAUCUGAUCAUAUCAACAAUAACCAUAACAAAAACGAAAGCCAAGAUCACCUGAAUAGCCAGAUAUUACUGGUCGACAACAGAGUUCAAGUUAGCUCAAAGUCCUCACAGGUUGACAAAACACACCACUCCUCCUCCACGUACGUCACAGAGACACUGGUUUACAGCAUUAAAUCAAAAGUAGAAACGGCUACUGCUGCCCCAAAGAACGCCACACCUAAACCUUUACAACAUAACGCAAACACUCCGGUUUCUGUGGAGACCAGCCUAAGUCAACAGUCACACACAGUGCAGAGAAAAGAAGCUGGAGAUAACCCAUGCACUCAUUCAGAUAGGAGCUCCAGUGGCAGCAGCUCCACUGAGAUUCAGUCCCGGGAUGAUGAAGGCUGCAGCAAAAUAAGCAAAGAGAACGUGUUGGGUAAAAGCAGGUUUUUUUCAGUGGAGGUUAACAAUGAACAAAGCCCAAAAAGAAGCCGGUUUGCAUUGAAGAAAAGCAUUAGUACACCAAGUUCCAGUUUAUCAAGGUCAGAGUCAGAGAAGGCCAACAAGAGCAAUAACAGAAUGGACCAGGUCCUUAACAGACUGAGGCAGAAAUUCAGCACCAGGCGGUCUGAGGAGGAUUUAUCAUUUCCAUGGAAAUGGAAGCGAGCCUCCCAAGCACCUUCUGUUAGUGGAUCAAGUGACACCAGUAAUGUCAGUGAUAUCAGUGGGGAGAGCGCCAAAACUCUGGAGAAGAAAGAGAGAGUGCUGAGCAAUAAUAAACGAGAAGAAGAGGGGACAAGUGGGUGGACACAGAACCGAUACACUAUCAUUACCCCCGCCGCUGAAAGCACAGUUUGUUCAGAACCUGUUGAAACUGAGCAAGUUGAUCAAAAUGUUUGUGCAGAACACACACCUGAAAACAAACUUCACCUGACCGUCCACGGCCCAGCAGCACACAAGUUUGACUUUUACAAAGACGGACCUGAUUAUAAAACAACAAACCAGUUCCUCUCCUGCAGAGACCUCAGUCCUGGUAGGAGUCCCAAUCCCUCUGCUACUUGUCCCAGUCAGUUCAGAAAAUCUACACCCAGUCCCAGGAGCCCUUUCUCCCCCUUCUCCUCUCUCUCCCCUGUCUCCCCAUUUUCCUCACCUGAUGUAACAGACGACAGUGUCUUCUAUAGCCCAAAGCUGCAGCGUCGUAGAGAAUCCUCCUCUCCAUGUGAACUAUCAGAAGGAAUCAGCCUGGGUGGAAGAAGACGGAGCCGCGCAUCAACAGGACCUCCAAGUGCAAGUCCAGGUCAGGACAAGGACCACCUGACAUCCUCAUAUGCAGACUUGAAGUAUGGCAUUGAGCCUGGGCGGUCCUUUUCUGUGAGCUCAGUUCUCUCCAGCCGGCCCUCAGGACCUGGGCGCAUUUCCACUGGGUCCAGGUUCAUGAGUGUGGGUGACCUCUCUCAGACUGCCUUGUCAUGUAGAGGUAACAGCAGAGACUUGGAUCAGUGGUGUUCCACAUCUGAUGGGACCACAGGAUUUGGUUUCCAACCUAACGACCAUCGAAUGUCAUCUUUCCCCGGCGAUCCUGGUAAAAUGAGAUCAAGGUCUCUACCUCGGUCUCUGACCAGGUGUUUGACAAACUGGAGCUCAGAAGUCCCCACCUCUCAGCCUGUUAAGGCAACAGCAUCAAAGCCUGCUCACCUCUGGAGCCCUAAUAUGAACAUGUGUCACUUUGCAUGGGACACAGACGGUCCACCAACACCCCCUCCAACUCCUCCACUGUCACCGGUGUCCAGACGCAUGUCCCAACCUCCCAGCCAGUCCUCUCCUACCUUCCCUAGCUCGCCUGGCGCACCACAGCAGGGAGACAGCCAGUCCUCCAGAGGGCUCUUACCCUCCAGAGGUUACAUAUCCAGCCUUAGCACCUUUGAAGAGUCUUCAGACAGCAGCUCAGAUACGACAACAGAUGAUGAAUAUUACCUAGAAACAGAUGACGACGGAGAAAAAGAGACAGAACUGUGAGAUAACUGAGACAGACUGUAAUCGUCCCUGUAUGAUAACCUGUGUGUGUCUCCUGUGUACUGGGACAACUGGUUGACUGCAUGAUUUAAAGUGAAAGAUGUGGUUAUGAUUAAAGGAUAUUAAGUAUGAGCAGACAUAUUAUCAUCGCAUGUGUUUGAAUACUGACAUGUACAGUAAGGCAAGGUGAUAAAAAUAUGUUUAAUUUUGUAUAUUUUUGGGCCAUUGCAUGCCAUUAAUGAGGUUUAUAUUUGUUGUUUUAAAGAACAAACUAGUGUGUAAGGUUUGGCUUUUGGCACAAGUCUAAUCUUUAGGUUUGCAUUUCGUCCUGCCAGCAAACACUAAGUACUGAGGGUAAUGUGUUCUCUCCAGUGUAUGUGUUUUAUGUUCAAAGAGUGUUGGUAAAAUUAUUUUAUUUAGCAAGUGUUUGCUGCUUUAAAGGGUUUUUUGUAUAAAAUAUAAGCCUGUAAUGAUUAACAUUUGUUAUUAUUUACUCCAUACGGUGCCUGCUCCUGUUUGCACAGUGAUCUAAAAAGUCUUAAUAUAUGUAUUUUGUAAGUAAAUGUCUCAUUUCCAACAAUGUAGUUGAUUUAUUUAAUAUUGUCCAGAUUUAAUUGGCAGGAUUUAUCUUAGUGUAGAUUGAUUCCAGUGUUUCCCAUCCUAUUAAUAAGUGGGUGGAUUAAGAUUCAGGGCCUGAGGCCACCUUCCAGUCUGCUGGGAUCUGCAGGGACCAUAUGAAUCACGAUGAUUUGCUGGAUACUUUAAAUAGUGUCUGCUUUAGGUGGGGCUCUUUGGCGCAUUGUUUUAGUGGGUGUUCCCUCAUGCCAUUAGCUGUAGCAGCACAUAAACCUUUGUGGUGCUGGUAAGAUAAAACAUCCAUUAGGUUGGCUUGUUAAACGGUUUUUCUUCACUGCCC